rnacentral:rRNA from 1 species
GACGAACGCUGGCGGCGUGCUUAACACAUGCAAGUCGAGCGGUAAGGCCCUUUCGGGGGUACGACGAGCGGCGAACGGGUGAGUAACACGUGGGUGACCUGCCCUCAGCUCUGGGAUAAGCCUGGGAAACUGGGUCUAAUACCGGAUAUGACUCCAUGACGCAUGUUGUGGGGUGGAAAGCCUUGUGCGGCUGAGGAUGGGCCCGCGGCCUAUCAGCUUGUUGGUGGGGUGAUGGCCUACCAAGGCGACGACGGGUAGCCGGCCUGAGAGGGCGACCGGCCACACUGGGACUGAGACACGGCCCAGACUCCUACGGGAGGCAGCAGUGGGGAAUCUUGCGC